rnacentral:rRNA from 1 species
UACGUAGGGUGCAAGCGUUGUCCGGAAUCAUUGGGCGUAAAGCGCGCGUAGGCGGCCCGGUAAGUCCGCUGUAAAAGUCCAGGGCUCAACCCUGGAAAGCCGGUGGAUACUGUCGGGCUCGAGUCCGGAAGAGGCGAGUGGAAUUCCUGGUGUAGCGGUGGAAUGCGCAGAUAUCAGGAGGAACACCGAUGGCGAAGGCAGCUCGCUGGGACGGUACUGACGCUGAGGCGCGAAAGCGUGGGGAGCGAACAGG